rnacentral:rRNA from 1 species
GACGAACGCUGGCGGCGUGCUUAACACGUGCAAGUCGAACGGAAAGGCCCCGCUUUUGUGGGGUGCUCGAGUGGCGAACGGGUGAGUAACACGUGAGUAACCUGCCCUUGACUUUGGGAUAACUUCAGGAAACUGGGGCUAAUACCGGAUAGGAGCUCCUGCUGCAUGGUGGGGGUUGGAAAGUUUCGGCGGUUGGGGAUGGACUCGCGGCUUAUCAGCUUGUUGGUGGGGUAGUGGCUUACCAAGGCUUUGACGGGUAGCCGGCCUGAGAGGGUGACCGGCCACAUUGGGACUGAGAUACGGCCCAGACUCCUACGGGAGGCAGCAGUGGGGAAUAUUGCACAAUGGGCGGAAGCCUGAUGCAGCAACGCCGCGUGCGGGAUGACGGCCUUCGGGUUGUAAACCGCUUUCGCCUGUGACGAAGCGUGAGUGACGGUAAUGGGUAAAGAAGCACCGGCUAACUACGUG